GAAUUUUUCCAAACUCUAAUCUCAAAAUCAAAAUGCAUUUUUUGUCUAAUAUACAUGGCGCUAAUAAUAGUCUACCUACUGAUAAACUUGUCUAUAUGUAAAAAAAAAAACAAUUAGUAUUUUAUGAUUUGCAUAAGCGAACUAAAUCUAUAAUACAUGUUAAAAAGGUUAAUUUCAUAUAAUGCUUAUAUUUUAAUACAUCAGAUAUAACAUGAGAUUGUUGUAUUUUUCUUUAAAUAGGGUUAACAAAGUGAUUGUAUUUGUUGAUAGUAAAAAAAAACAGAAAUAGGAUAAUAUUGACAGAAAAAAGAAUGAAAAAGAAGAUAAUUGGAUUAGUGGUUAGGAGUAGGUGAAGAUGUUGUUAGUGGAGGUUGGGGAUGGUCCAUCACGGUCAGUUUCUAAUUGAAGAUAAUGAAAGUCCUAUCGUUUGCUUUAAUCAAUUGACAUCUCGAAUGGAAAUGCAGCAUGUAUCUCUAGUUACCUUUUUGUGAAAGCACAAAAUCAAGCAAUGUUUUAU
rnacentral:lncRNA from 1 species